rnacentral:rRNA from 1 species
CAGUAGCCGCGGUAAUACAGAGGGUGCAAGCGUCAAUCGGAUUUACUGGGCGUAAAGCGUGCGUAGGUGGUUGUUUAAGUCGGAUGUGAAAGCCCUGGGCUUAACCUGGGAACUGCAUUCGAUACUGGAUAGCUAGAGAUCGGUAGAGGGCAGCGGAAUUCCGGGUGUAGCGGUGAAAUGCGUAGAUAUCCGGAGGAACACCGAUGGCGAAGGCAACUGCCUGGGCCUGAUCUGACACUGAGGCACGAAAGCGUGGGUAGCAAACAGGAUUAGAUACCCCGGUAGUCCCUGUCUCUUAUAC